AAGUCGUAACAAGGUUUCCGUAGGUGAACCUGCGGAAGGAUCAUUACACAUUUUGGCCGUAACAAGCCUUAACCCUUCUCUACACGUACCUUCACAUUCUCCUUCGGCGGGGUAACGCCCGCCGUCGGAACCAUCAAAACCCUUUUUGCAUCUAGCAUCGUACCCGUUCUGAUAAAAAUUCAAUCGUUACAACUUUCAACAAUGGAUCUCUUGGCUCUGGCAUCGAUGAAGAACGCAGCGAAAUGCGAUAAGUAGUGUGAAUUGCAGAAUUCAGUGAAUCAUCGAAUCUUUGAACGCACAUUGCGCCCAUUAGUAUUCUAGUGGGCAUGCCUGUUCGAGCGUCAUUUCAACCCUUAAGCCUAGCUUAGUAUUGGGAAUUGGCUUUAUUGCCAUUCCUCAAAUUCAACGGCGGAUUUAUAGCAAUCUCUGAACGUAGUAAUUUUUUUUCUCGUUUUCGAAAUACUAUAAACCUCAGCCGCUAAACCCCCAAUUUUCUAUGGUUGACCUCGAAUCAGGUAGGAAUACCCGCUGAACUUAA
rnacentral:rRNA from 1 species